UGACACGCCUCCCAGGAAAGGAAGGAAGGAAGGACGUGUGCAGGUGAGAUGAGAGAGCUGUGUCUUACACCUCAAGGGCUGUCCCAUCCUCUACCAACCAACAUUUCCAUUGUUAGCUUACAGGACAGCAAUGGAGAACGACAGCUAGGAGUAUACAGGAGUCCAAUCUUACAAGCAGGAGGGAUCUGACUGUUGUCAACCAGGUGCUAGAGCUCUGGGCUUCCAGGAAAGGCCAAGACGUUCCCAGCGAGUGGCACCACACCAACGACCGCGUCCCAUCCCGUCUGGCACACUACCCUCCAUUUCUUCAUUCUUGGAGUCUAGAGCAGGAACAGCAGCAUGUGACCGAGAGCCUCCAGCUAAGAUGGCAGCCCAUGUCACAUGGGACCUGUGAGAGCUUAAAAGCACACUGAAGUGGAGGUGACACCCAGGUCUAUCACUCCACAUACCAGGACAAGCUUAGACCUUGCUACGUGAGUACCCUGGGACCACCAAUACUUUGGGGUUAGCAACAACCCCAUUAGCAUCUAGAAGGCAGAGAAAGGCUGUGUGUGGUUUUACUUAAUACUGGCCU
rnacentral:lncRNA from 1 species